rnacentral:rRNA from 1 species
UACGUAGGGUGCGAGCGUUAAUCGGAAUUACUGGGCGUAAAGUGUGCGCAGGCGGCAGAGCAAGUCGAGUGUGAAAGCCCCGGGCUUAACUUGGGAAUUGCGCUCGAAACUACUUUGCUGGAGUGUGGCAGAGGAAGGUGGAAUUCCACGUGUAGCGGUGAAAUGCGUAGAGAUGUGGAGGAACACCGAUGGCGAAGGCAGCCCCCUGGGCUAACACUGACGCUCAUGCACGAAAGCGUGGGGAGCAAACAGG